GCCCGGGUAGCUCAGUCGGUAGAGCAGGGGACUGAAAAUCCCCGUGUCGGUGGUUCGAUUCCGCCCCCGGGCACCA
rnacentral:tRNA from 1 species